UCCAUGGUGGCCGAAACAUUUAGGCAUUAAGCUUUUAACUUAACCAUAGUUUACACAACUUCAUGGAU
rnacentral:tRNA from 1 species